GGGGAUAAAUUAAUAAAUAUAGGGGUAAUAAAAAAAAUUUUAAUAUAAAAUAUUUUAUGGGGGUUAAAGUAUUUUUAUAGAAAAAAUUGAUAUUUUUAUAGUUAAUUAGUAUUGUGAAAGAAUUUUGAAAUAAAAUUGAAAAAAAAAUUUAUUAAAAAGUAAAUUUAAUUUAUUGUAUCUUGUGUAUCAGAGUUUAUUAAUAAUUUUUUAUUAAUUUAAAUUUCUCGAAUUUAAAAGAGUUAAUUAAUUAAAAAAUUUAUUGUUUCAUAAAUAUUUUUAAUAAUUAAUUAGAAAUGAAAUGUUAUUCGUUUUUAAAUAUAUCUAGUUUUUUUAGAAAAAAAUUUAAUUUUUAUUUUAAUUUGUAAAUUUAUUAAUUAAUUAAUAAAUUUACAAAUUAAAAUUAAUAUUUUAAGGGAUAAGCUUUAAAUUAAAUUUUUAUAAAUAUUUAUAAAAGUUUGAAAUUUUUAUAAUUUAUAUUGUUAAUAAAUUUUAAUUUAUUAUAAAUAAUUUCAUAAAAUAAUAAAAUUUUAUUAAAAUUUAAUUUUUUAUAAAAAAUUAAAUUUUAAUGAUAAUAAUUUAGAUAUAAUGAUAAAAUUAGUAUAUAUUUAAUUUAACUAAAAAAAAGUUAUAAUAUAAUUUAAUAAAGUGAAUUAUAUAAUGAAUUAUUUUAAAGGAAUUCGACAAAUAUGUAUAUUCACCUGUUUAUCAAAAACAUGUCUUUUUGUUAAUAAUUUAAAGUCUAAUCUGCCCACUGAUUUUAAUUAAAGGGCUGCAGUAAUUUGACUGUACAAAGGUAGCAUAAUCAUUAGUCUCUUAAUUGGUGACUUGUAUGAAAGAUUGGAUGAAAUAUAGAUUGUCUCUAAAAUAAUAUAUUGAAUUUAAUUUUUUAAUUAAAAAGUUAAAAUGAUUUAAAAAGACGAGAAGACCCUAUAGAGUUUUAUAUAAAUUUAUGUUUAAAUUUUUUGUUUAGUUAUUAAUUUAAAUAUAAUUUUAUAUUUUAUUGGGGUGAUAAGAAAAUAUAAAAAACUUUUUUUAUAAUUUACCAUUAAUAAGUGAUUAUUUGAUCCAGUAUUAUUGAUUAUAAGAAUAAAUUACCUUAGGGAUAACAGCGUAAUUUUUUUUUUUAGUUCAAAUAAGAAGAAGAGUUUGCGACCUCGAUGUUGGAUUAAGAUAAAAUUUAAAUGCAAAAGUUUAAAAUUUUGAUCUGUUCGAUCAUUAAAAUCUUACAUGAUCUGAGUUCAAACCGGUGUGAGCCAGGUUGGUUUCUAUCUUUUAAUUUUUUUUUAUAUUUUAGUACGAAAGGAUCAAAUAUUAUAAUUAAAUUAAUUUUUAUUGUUUUUUAUUAAAUAUUCAUUAAAUUUUUACAUUUAAAUUGUAUUGUUUAAUUUAUAUAUAUAUAUAUAUAUUAGUUAUUUUAUAUUUCUGUUA
rnacentral:rRNA from 1 species